GUAACACAUCGGAACGUACCCAGUAGCGGGGGAUAGCCCGGCGAAAGCCGGAUUAAUACCGCAUACGCCCUAAGGGGGAAAGGGGGGGAUCGCAAGACCUCUCACUAUUGGAGCGGCCGAUGGCUGAUUAGCUAGUUGGUGGGGUAAAGGCCUACCAAGGCAACGAUCAGUAGCUGGUCUGAGAGGACGACCAGCCACACUGGGACUGAGACACGGCCCAGACUCCUACGGGAGGCAGCAGUGGGGAAUUUUGGACAAUGGGCGAAAGCCUGAUCCAGCAAUGCCGCGUGUGCGAAGAAGGCCUUCGGGUUGUAAAGCACUUUUGUCAGGGAAGAAAUCGUUCGGGCCAAUACCCCGGGCAGUUGACGGUACCUGAAGAAUAAGCACCGGCUAACUACGUGCCAGCAGCCGCGGUAAUACGUAGGGUGCAAGCGUUAAUCGGAAUUACUGGGCGUAAAGCGUGCGCAGGUGGUUCGUUAAGACAGUUGUGAAAUCCCCGGGCUUAACCUGGGAACUGCAAUUGUGACUGGCGGACUAGAGUUUGGCAGAGGGGGGUGGAAUUCCUGGUGUAGCAGUGAAAUGCGUAGAUAUCAGGAGGAACACCGAUGGCGAAGGCAGCCCCCUGGGCCAUGACUGACACUCAUGCA
rnacentral:rRNA from 1 species